GCCUGCCUCUGCCUCCCGAGUGCUGGGAUUAAAGGCGUGCGCCACCACUGUCCAGUGCCAUCACUUCUUCUAUUACAGAGCCAUCUCCAGUGAUGGCGGCUGAGACCAGCUGGGCUCAGCAAGCCCUCAGAGAGGCUGGAGGAACUCAUUCAUGGCUUAUCUUGGUGACAAGACCCAGACUAAACUCAGCAAGAUUAAAGACAAGGGUCAGAGUCCGGGAGACAAUGGCCCUGGACGCCCAGUGGGGUCUCCCCAUGCUGAAUUCAAAAAGCUUCGUCCUGUGGCACAAAUGGCCGACAGUAGGAAGAUGCCCCUGAGCCUCGACGUCUACAGCGCUUAUUGAGGGUCGGUCAGGUGAGCGUAGCCGAUGCUGCAUGGCCAGUCUUCGUCAUCUCACCUACUCCAGAGGCCCAGCUCAAAUACAAGGCUGGAAGCCCCAGAGUUCUCAUCCUGGGGCUGGGAGGUUGUCUCCCAGGAGCCUAGGGACCUGCCAUCCUCAGGAGUGCUCAGGGUUUGGACGCCUCAGACCUACCAAGUUCAACCUUUGCUGCACCGCCCACAGCUCCACCCACCAAGAGGAAAAAGGGUCUCCCUCCCCUGGAGUCAAAGCUGUAGCUGUAACUUCCCGUGAUGUGGGGGAGACUGGGGCAGUUUCUGACUAGGACUUAAGGACAAGCCAGCCAUCAUGAAAGAUGGCCGUGAGACCACCAUGAUGAAGCAACCAGGAGGCAUUGAUGUCUGGCGCUACAGCAGCCUUCUUGGCACUAUAAGGAGAAACUUCAACACAUGCCGUGAAGCAAAAGAGAGAAAGGACUGGGGGUUUGAUGAGGCCAUUGAGCUGACAGACAGACCCAAAAGCUUCCUGUUCUUUAAGCCUCUGAUGAUCAUUCCAUUCCCUGUAGCCAAACUCUCCGUAAGGCAGACAAACAGAUUGAAUAGAAAUAUGGAGCUGGUACUUGAA